AAAGAUGUGCUGUCCACAGUGUAUUUGAUAAGAUGACAUAGGAGAGGAACUUCUUUCACCUUUGUGUCAGUUUAUCAAACCCAUACCUGGAUGAC
rnacentral:pre_miRNA from 1 species